rnacentral:rRNA from 1 species
CGGCGGACGGGUGAGUAAUGCCUAGGAAUCUGCCUGGUAGUGGGGGACAACGUUUCAAAGGAACGCUAAUACCGCAUACGUCCUACGGGAGAAAGCAGGGGACCUUCGGGCCUUGCGCUAUCAGAUGAGCCUAGGUCGGAUUAGCUAGUUGGUGAGGUAAUGGCUCACCAAGGCGACGAUCCGUAACUGGUCUGAGAGGAUGAUCAGUCACACUGGAACUGAGACACGGUCCAGACUCCUACGGGAGGCAGCAGUG